rnacentral:rRNA from 1 species
AAUAAGCGGAGGAAAAGAAACUAACAAGGAUUCCCCUAGUAACUGCGAGUGAAGCGGGAAAAGCUCAAAUUUAAAAUCUGGCGGUCUUUGGCCGUCCGAGUUGUAGUCUGGAGAAGUGCUUUCCGUGCUGGACCGUGUACAAGUCUCUUGGAACAGAGCGUCAUAGAGGGUGAGAAUCCCGUCUUUGACACGGACUACCAGUGCUUUGUGAUGCGCUCUCGAAGAGUCGAGUUGUUUGGGAAUGCAGCUCAAAAUGGGUGGUAAAUUCCAUCUAAAGCUAAAUAUUGGCGAGAGACCGAUAGCGAACAAGUACCGUGAGGGAAAGAUGAAAAGCACUUUGGAAAGAGAGUUAAACAGUACGUGAAAUUGCUGAAAGGGAAACACUUGAAGUCAGUCGCGUUGGCCGGAACUCAGCCUUGCUUUUUUGCUUGGUGCACUUUCUGGUCGACGGGCCAGCAUCAAUUUUGAUCGUCGGAUAAAGGCUGGGGGAAUGUGGCAUCUUCGGAUGUGUUAUAGCCCUCGGUCACAUACGAUGGUUGGGAUUGAGGAUCUCAGCACACCUUUACGGUCGGGGUUCGCCCACGCUUGUGCUUAGGAUGCUGGCGUAAUGGCUUUAAAUGACCCGUCUUGAAACACGGACCAAGGAGUCUAACAUGCCUGCGAGUGUUUGGGUGGAAAACCCGAGCGCGCAAUGAAAGUGAAAGUUGAGACCCCUGUCGUGGGGGGCAUCGACGCCCGGACCAGACCUUCUGUGACGGCUCCGCGGUAGAGCAUGUAUGUUGGGACCCGAAAGAUGGUGAACUAUGCCUGAAUAGGGUGAAGCCAGAGGAAACUCUGGUGGAGGCUCGUAGCGAUUCUGACGUGCAAAUCGAUCGUCAAAUUUGGGUAUAGGGGCGAAAGACUAAUCGAACCAUCUAGUAGCUGGUUCCUGC